CCCCAUCCCUACCCAAAAAUAAAAAAAAUAAAUAAAUAAAAAGAAGGUACUAAUAAUCAACCCAAAUUCAUCAUCUCCUUCCAAAUCUUUCUGAUCUAAGAAGUUAAUAAUUAAGCCACCACUCGGUAGCCUUUCAACUCUCAUAAAGCAAGGAUUGGCCCAACUGAAUCACACUGGAUGGAAGAACAACAUUUUGGCCGUCAAUUGCAGUUGAAGGAAUCGUCCUAGUCGGUACAUUGGGGAUUGAAUUACAAGGCAAUUGAGCAGCAAAUUAGGGUCCCGUUUGGUAGGGAUUUUUUGCCCCCAAAAAAUUGAUUUUUUGACCGUUAUUUUACUAUUCAAGCCGUAAUUUUUGACUUCUUCUCUCACAUGUGGACCCCACUUUUUUUCUAACGGUCAAAAAAUCAAUUCUCAAAAUC
rnacentral:lncRNA from 1 species